rnacentral:rRNA from 1 species
GUAGGUGGCAAGCGUUGUCCGGAAUUAUUGGGCGUAAAGCGCGCGCAGGUGGUUCUUUAAGUCUGAUGUGAAAGCCCCCGGGCUCAACCGGGGAGGGUCAUUGGAAACUGGGGAACUUGAGUGCAGGAGAGGAAAGUGGAAUUCCACGUGUAGCGGUGAAAUGCGUAGAUAUGUGGAGGAACACCAGUGGCGAAGGCGACCUUCUGGCCUGUAACUGACACUGAGGCGCGAAAGCGUGGGGAGCAAACAGGAUUAGAUACCCUGGUAGUCCACGCCGUAAACGAUGAGUGCUAAGUGUUGGGGGGUUUCCGCCCCUCAGUGCUGCAGCUAACGCAUUAAGCACUCCGCCUGGGGAGUACGGUCGCAAAGACUG